AAACCAGCACCUCAAGUGGUCAGGAGGAUUAUUGGGCCUAAAGCAUCCGUAGCCUGCUGCAUAAGUUUUCGGUUAAAUCCAUACGCUCAACGUAUGGGCUGCCGGGAAUACUGUGCAGCUAGGGAGUGUGAGAGGUAGACGGUACUCAGUAGGAAGGGGUAAAAUCCUUUGAUCUAUUGAUGACCACCUGUGGCGAAGGCGGUCUACCAGAACACGUUCGACGGUGAGGGAUGAAAGCUGGGGGAGCAAACCGAAUUAGAAACCCCAGUAGUCC
rnacentral:rRNA from 1 species